CUCAACCAGAGAAGCUCCGUGCCACGCACUGAAUCCCCUGCAGAAGGUUCGGAAAGAAGAUCUCCCUGAGGAGCUUAGAGAGCAAAGACCAAAAAAAGCCAAGACUAAAAUGAGCAUCUUUACUGCCCUCAGUGAAGGGGAGGCUACUGAUUUGGCCCUAGGAUUGGGAGCUAUGCUUGGGCGCCAUGUGGACCUGGACUUGAGUGCGGGACAGAGUAUUUCCAAAGACUAGGCAGAGGCUACAAAUAACUGCUUUAUCCUGGUCAUGGCCAUGGAGGAUCCAGAACUGUUCCUGGGGAAACUGGACGUACGGCAGGAGUGCAC